UACGUAGGGUGCGAGCGUUGUCCGGAAUUACUGGGCGUAAAGAGCUCGUAGGUGGUUUGUCGCGUUGUCCGUGAAAACUCACAGCUCAACUGUGGGCGUGCGGGCGAUACGGGCAGACUGGAGUACUGCAGGGGAGACUGGAAUUCCUGGUGUAGCGGUGGAAUGCGCAGAUAUCAGGAGGAACACCGGUGGCGAAGGCGGGUCUCUGGACAGUAACUGACGCUGAGGAGCGAAAGCGUGGGGAGCGAACAGG
rnacentral:rRNA from 1 species